rnacentral:rRNA from 1 species
CCUACGGGAGGCAGCUGUGGGGGAUAUUGGACAAUGGGGGGGAACCCUGAUCCAGCGACGCCGCGUGAGUGAAGAAGUAUUUCGGUAUGUAAAGCUCUGUCAGCAGGGAAGAAAGCAAUGACGGUACCUGACCAAGAAGCCCCGGCUAACUACGUGCCAGCAGCCGCGGUAAUACGUAGGGGGCAAGCGUUAUCCGGAAUUACUGGGUGUAAAGGGAGCGUAGACGGCUGUGCAAGUCUGGAGUGAAAGGCGGGGGCCCAACCCCCGGACUGCUCUGGAAACGGUAUGGCUGGAGUGCAGGAGAGGUAGGCGGAAUUCCCGGUGUAGCGGUGAAAUGCGUAGAGAGCGGGAGGAACACCAGUGGCGAAGGCGGCCUACUGGGCUCUAACUGACGCUGAGGCACGAAAGCGUGGGUAGCAAACAGGAUUAGAUACCCUGGUAGUC